rnacentral:rRNA from 1 species
AUUGAACGCUGGCGGCAGGCCUAACACAUGCAAGUCGAGCGAGCGGCGGACGGGUGAGUAAUGUCUGGGAAACUGCCUGAUGGAGGGGGAUAACUACUGGAAACGGUAGCUAAUAACGCAUACCAUCAGCUGUGCCCAGAUGGGAUUAGCUAGUGGGUGGGGUAAUGGCUCACCUAGGCGACGAUCCCUAGCGGGUCUGAGAGGAUGACCAGCAACACUGGACUGGAGCAACGGUCCAUACUCCUACGGGGGGCGGAAUGGGGGAAUUUUGCAAAUUGGGGGAAAGCCGGAGGCAGCAAUGCGGGGUGUGUGAAAAAGGCUUUCGGUUUGUAAAGUACUUUCAGCGGGGAGGCGUUACCCGAAGAAGAAGCACCGGCUAACUCCGUGCCAGCAGCCGCGGUAAUAC